rnacentral:rRNA from 1 species
GAUGAACGCUGGCGGCGUGCCUAAUACAUGCAAGUCGAGCGAACAGACGAGGAGCUUGCUCCUCUGACGUUAGCGGCGGACGGGUGAGUAACACGUGGAUAACCUACCUAUAAGACUGGUAUAACUUCGGGAAACCGGAGCUAAUACCGGAUAAUAUAUUGAACCGCAUGGUUCAAUAGUGAAAUACGGUUUUGCUGUCACUUAUAGAUGGAUCCGCGCCGCAUUAGCUAGUUGGUAAGGUAACGGCUUACCAAGGCAACGAUGCGUAGCCGACCUGAGAGGGUGAUCGGCCACACUGGAACUGAGACACGGUCCAGACUCCUACGGGAGGCAGCAGUAGGGAAUCUUCCGUAAUGGGCGAAAGCUUGACGGAGCAACGCCGCGUGAGUGAUGAAGGUCUUCGGAUCGUAAAACUCUGUUAUUAGGGAAGAACAAAUGUGUAAGUAACUAUGCACGUCUUGACGGUACCUAAUCAGAAAGCCACGGCUAACUACGUG